rnacentral:lncRNA from 1 species
GGAUUUUCACUGAAACACUCAAUUGAAUUCAUUAGUAAUCAAAAGAUAUACUCAAAUGCUUUGAGCUCAUCAAAAUCAAAUGGGGUUUUAAUCAAUCACUCCACAAUCUCCCCCUUUUUGAUGAUGACAAAACAUUGAGUAUAUGUAAAAUGAAUUGCUCAAUAAACAAUGAAGUAGAAUCCAUAAAUGAAUUCAAAUGUCUGAUAAUUUAAUUUAUCCAAGUUUGAGAGGAGUGAAACAUUAAAUUUCGGAGUUAAAGCUCCCCCUUUCAUUUGGAAUUAUAUAAGCCUUCAUAUUAUGCAAUCAAUUGUUUGGCUUAUAUGUCAUUAAUGAUUUAGCUUGAUUAAAAUUCAGAUUCUCCCCCUCAACAUAUGCAUUCAACUAUGUUUUGAUUCUCUGAAUUUCCUUUUCAUGCUUUGAAGUAUUUGAGCUGAAAUUUUGGUUUUUAGAGGGAAAAAUCUGUCAAUUUGUUCUUGAGUAGAAUUCAGCUAAUCUCCGAAUAUCCCUUGAAUAGAUUCUGGAGAUUACUCCAUUAGGAGUCCCAAAAGAGAGAUAAUGAGCCUCGAGGUACCGAAUCCACUUAGAACAAAUUUGUGUGUGUUUUUAAGAGUUUAUCUUUUUAUUGAUUUCUUUUACAUAUUUUAUCCACAUUUCUCCCCUUUUACAUAUUUUAUACAUAUUUCUCCCCCUUUUUGUCAUCAUACCAAAAAGGAGGUAAUCACACAUAAUCAAUGGCACAACAAAGCAAUCAUCAAAUGGCACA